CAAUAGCGUAUAUUAAAGUUGUUGCAGUUAAAAAGCUCGUAGUUGGAUUUCUGGUGGGAGCGAUCGGUCUGGCGCUUAGCGCGAGUACUUGCAUCGUCUCCGGCCAUCCUUGGGGAGAGUCUGUCUGGCAUUAGGUUGUCGGGCAGAGGAUCCUCAUCGUUUACUGUGAAAAAAUUAGAGUGUUCAAAGCAGGCUUAUGCCGUUGAAUAUAUUAGCAUGGAAUAAUAAGAUAGGACUUUGGUACUAUUUUGUUGGUUUGCGCACCAAAGUAAUGAUUAAUAGGGACAGUUGGGGGUAUUCUUAUUCCGUUGUCAGAGGUGAAAUUCUUGGAUUUACGGAAGACGAACUACUGCGAAAGCAUUUACCAAGGAUGUUUUCAUUAA
rnacentral:rRNA from 1 species